rnacentral:rRNA from 1 species
AUACAGAGGGUGCGAGCGUUAAUCGGAAUUACUGGGCGUAAAGCGCGCGUAGGCGGCUUGGUCAGUCGGAUGUGAAAGCCCCGGGCUCAACCUGGGAAUGGCAUUCGAUACUGCCAGGCUAGAGUAUGGGAGAGGGAAGUGGAAUUUCCGGUGUAGCGGUGAAAUGCGUAGAUAUCGGAAGGAACACCAGUGGCGAAGGCGACUUCCUGGCCCAAUACUGACGCUGAGGUGCGAAAGCGUGGGGAGCGAACAGCAUUAGAUACCCUAGUAGUCC